GUGCUAUUUUUGGCAGUGCAAAUGGUAAAAUUGGAACGAUUCGGAGAAGAUUAGCAUGGACCUAGAUCAAGGAUGACAAAUUUGUGCAGAUAUUUUGCAAAGCUUU